UUGNAAGGUUAAAGUCGUAACAAGGUUUCCGUAGGUGAACCUGCGGAAGGAUCAUUACAGAAUGAAAAGUGCUUAACUGCAUUUUUUCUUACACAUGUGUUUUUCUUUUUUUGAAAACUUUGCUUUGGUAGGCCUUCUAUAUGGGGCCUGCCAGAGAUUAAACUCAACCAAAUUUUAUUUAAUGUCAACCGAUUAUUUAAUAGUCAAAACUUUCAACAACGGAUCUCUUGGUUCUCGCAUCGAUGAAGAACGCAGCGAAAUGCGAUAAGUAAUAUGAAUUGCAGAUAUUCGUGAAUCAUCGAAUCUUUGAACGCACAUUGCGCCCUUUGGUAUUCCAAAGGGCAUGCCUGUUUGAGCGUCAUUUCUCCCUCAAACCCUCGGGUUUGGUGUUGAGCGAUACGCUGGGUUUGCUUGAAAGAAAGGCGGAGUAUAAACUAAUGGAUAGGUUUUUUCCACUCAUUGGUACAAACUCCAAAACUUCUUCCAAAUUCGACCUCAAAUCAGGUAGGACUACCCGCUGAACUUAAGCAUAUCAAUAGCNGGGAAGGAA
rnacentral:sRNA from 1 species